rnacentral:lncRNA from 1 species
AGUAUGAAGAACUACACUAAUGAAAGAAUCUAUGACCUUAUAAGCCUACAUGUUGUCAGCAGAAGAGAAGGUCAUGAGCAAAGUGAUGCAAUGGUUGUGAAAGGACUACGUUGACACAACGUUAAGCAAUGGCCAUGGGCAGCUUCAGUGACCAUAGACAAAGCAGAACAAACCUACAGGGAUGACCUCUGACUCAGUGUCGAGUUUUAGCUCAGGCGAGUGCCAACGGGAUUAUCCAUUUGCUGGAUCUUAAAUCUGGGCAAAUUCACAAACUGGUGGGCCAUGAGAGUGAAGUGCACACUGUGAUAUUUUCCCACCGUGCAGAGAAUCUGUACUCUGGUGGUUCUGACGGCACCAUUCGGUUGUGGCUCUGAUCAGCAAAAGCAUACCCUGAUGCAAAGGGCAUUCCCUCCACAGCUCAAAAAUGCUCCAUACAGUCUGCUUACAAGCCAGCAACUAGCUGGAUAUAACGACCAAUAAAUAAAAUAUUUGUUUUGAAACAAGCUUUGGGUGAAUACUAUAUAACCCCUACUGUUACAAAUAAAAAUUAUAACUUUUUCUUC